UUCGAUGCAACGCGAAAACUUACCACCUUUGACAUGUACGGAAGCCUUUAGAGAUAGAGGCGUGCUCGAAAGAGAGCCGUAACACAGGUGCUGCAUGGCUGUCGUCAGCUCGUGUCGUGAGAUGUUGGGUUAAGUCCCGCAACGAGCGCAACCCUUGUCAUUAGUUGCUACAUUCAGUUGGGCACUCUAAUGAGACUGCCGGUGACAAGCCGGAGGAAGGUGGGGAUGACGUCAAGUCCUCAUGGCCCUUAUAGGUGGGGCUACACACGUCAUACAAUGGCUGGUACAAAGGGUUGCCAACCCGCGAGGGGGAGCUAAUCCCAUAAAGCCAGUCGUAGUCCGGAUCGUAGUCUGCAACUCGACUACGUGAAGUCGGAAUCGCUAGUAAUCGUGGAUCAGAAUGUCACGGUGAAUACGUUCCCGGGUCCU
rnacentral:rRNA from 1 species